rnacentral:lncRNA from 1 species
GCUUAUCGCAGGUUCUCAGUUUAUACGUCCGCCAUUCAUCUAGCUCCUCGAUUUUUAGCCUUCAUUCUUCAUGAAUAGAUCCUCUACUAUUGCUUAAGAAUGGCUCAUGUACUUCCUUCAGACUCAUUUCCUGCAAAAUAGGUUGCACCAUAUUGUCAAUUUUAGUAGAAUGGUUUAGACGAUCACCUUCAAUUUCUGAUGUGUUGCCAAAAUUGCAAGCUUGAAGGGUGAUUGUUUUGUCUCCC